rnacentral:misc_RNA from 1 species
UAUUUUGAGAAAACCGGAAAUUGAUGCAUUUGCUGAAGAACUAAAAGCACAUCAGAAAGCUCUCCUGCCAGACAAUUUUACUGUUCUGGAUCGUGCUAUGAUUGAGCACAAUCUUCUUAGUGCUAGUAAACUCUACUCAAAUAUAAGUUUUGAUGAGUUGGGCACUUUGCUGGGAAUUCCUCCAAACAAGGCAGAAAAGAUAGCAUCAAGAAUGAUUUAUGAGGAUAGAAUGAGGGGAUCAAUUGAUCAGGUUGAAGCUGUCAUUCACUUUGAGGAUGAUACUGAAGAGCUGCAGCAAUGGGAUCAACAGAUUGUUGGCUUGUGUCAGGCCUUGAAUGAUAUCCUGGAUAGCAUGGCGAAAAAGGGCUUAUCGAUCCCCGUCUGAUCCUUUUUUUUUUUUCGGUUUUUGAUAGCUGG